rnacentral:rRNA from 1 species
GGAUUGUUCACCCACCAAUAGGGAACGUGAGCUGGGUUUAGACCGUCGUGAAAAAAGUUAGUUUUACCUUACUGGUGACAGUGUCGCAAUAGUAAUUUAACCUAGUACGAGAGGAACCGUUGAUUCACACAAUUGGUCAUCGAGCUUGGUUGAAAAGCCAGUGGUGCGAAGCUACCGUGCACUGAAUUAUGACUGAACACCUCUAAGUCAAAAUCUGGGCUAGAAGCGACGCAUGCGCCCGCCGCCCGCUUGCUGACCCGCAGUAGGGGCCGUCCGACUCCCAAAGGCUCCGCCGCGUGGGCCGCCUUGAACUACAAUUUCUAUUUGGAGCGGCAGGUAGAAUCCUUUGUAGACGACUUAAAUACGCAACGGGGUAUUGUAAGUGGCAGAGUGUCCUUGCUGCCAUGAUCCACUAAGAUUCAGCCUUGCGUCGCUCCGAUUCCUCCCUCCC